rnacentral:lncRNA from 1 species
GGGUUUUGUAUGUGGCUCCUUGAAUGUUGACUCUUAAAUCUUGUUAGCUUGCAUCUAAUUCUUUCAUGAGUAAGUCGCAUUCACAUUUGGAUCCUUAUCUUCUAAUCUGAGCUCUUGAUUGGAGUAGUUGCUUCUUAGCCAUUGAUCUUUAAGUCAUGUUCACUUGAUUCUAUGUGGAAGGUUAUCUUCUAAUUUGGACUCUUGAUUGGAGAG